UACGUAGGCAGCGAGCGUUGUUCGGAGUUACUGGGCGUAAAGGGUGUGUAGGCGGUUGUUUAAGUUUGGUGUGAAAUCUCCCGGCUCAACUGGGAGGGUGCGCCGAAUACUGAAUGACUAGAGUGCGGGAGAGGUGAGUGGAAUUCCUGGUGUAGCGGUGAAAUGCGUAGAUAUCGGGAAGAACACCCGUGGCGAAGGCGGCUCUCUGGGACGGUACUGACGCUGAGACGCGAAAGCGUGGGGAGCAAACAGG
rnacentral:rRNA from 1 species